rnacentral:rRNA from 1 species
CCUAGGAGGAUCCUGAGUACGGCGGAACACGAGAAAUUCCGUCGGAAUCCGCGGGGACCAUCCCGCAAGGCUAAAUACUCCCUAGUGACCGAUAGUGAACCAGUACCGUGAGGGAAAGGUGAAAAGCACCCCGGAAGGGGAGUGAAAUAGAUCCUGAAACCGUGUGCCUACAACAAGUCAAAGCUCGUUAAUGAGUGAUGGCGUGCCUUUUGUAGAAUGAACCGGCGAGUUACGAUUGCAUGCGAGGUUAAGUCGAAGAGACGGAGCCGCAGCGAAAGCGAGUCUGAAUAGGGCGAAUGAGUAUGUAGUCGUAGACCCGAAACCAUGUGAUCUACCCAUGUCCAGGUUGAAGGUGCGGUAAAACGCACUGGAGGACCGAACCCACGUACGUUGAAAAGUGCGGGGAUGAGGUGUGGGUAGCGGAGAAAUUCCAAACGAACUUGGAGAUAGCUGGUUCUCUCCGAAAUAGCUUUAGGGCUAGCCUCGGAAUUGAGAAUGAUGGAGGUAGAGCACUGUUUGGACUAGGGGCCCAUCUCGGGUUACCGAAUUCAGAUAAACUCCGAAUGCCAUUCAUUUAUAUCCGGGAGUCAGACUGCGAGUGAUAAGAUCCGUAGUCGAAAGGGAAACAGCCCAGACCACCAGCUAAGGUCCCAAAAUAUAUGUUAAGUGGAAAAGGAUGUGGGGUUGCACAGACAACUAGGAUGUUGGCUUAGAAGCAGCCACCAUUUAAAGAGUGCGUAAUAGCUCACUAGUCGAGUGACCCUGCGCCGAAAAUGUACCGGGGCUAAACAUAUUACCGAAGCUGUGGACUACACCAUUAGGUGUAGUGGUAGGAGAGCGUUCUAAGGGCGUUGAAGGUCGAUCGUGAGGACGGCUGGAGCGCUUAGAAGUGAGAAUGCCGGUAUGAGUAGCGAAAGACAGGUGAGAAUCCUGUCCACCGUAUGACUAAGGUUUCCUGGGGAAGGCUCGUCCGCCCAGGGUUAGUCGGGACCUAAGCCGAGGCCGAUAGGCGUAGGCGAUGGACAACAGGUUGAUAUUCCUGUACCAGUUGUUUUUGUUUGAGCAAUGGAGGGACGCAGUAGGCUAAGGAAUGCAUGCGAUUGGAAGUGCAUGUCCAAGCAAUGAGUCUUGAG